UUAAUAAUGGGGGAAAAUAAACAUUGCACACAGCAGUAUAAAAUGAUAAUGCAGCCAGUUUCCUAAAUGACAGAUGAGAUAAAGCUUGAGUCUGUAACUCAGGAAACACAUCAGCAUUUUCAUCACACACAGCCUGGAAUGCUAGCUAUAAACAAUAGGCUGAACACGUAAGGGGAGGAAAGGAGAGAAUUAGUAAGUCUAAACAAUUUAUCUAAGAGGAGUUAAUGAGCUACUUCUGUGUUUCAGUACAAACACAGGGCUUUAGCUCAAAUGAGCAGAUUCUUUAAGGUAGCAUCUGUAGAAAUUUUAGCAGCAGUGGAAGGAAGGGAGAAUGAUAAAAGGGUUGUGCAGAGGAGCUUUGUCAUUACUUUGAAGAGGGGAACUGCUCCAUCCUGGGAUAGGUUGGGAGAGGGUAGGUGCCCACUUGCUGUGGAGGAUGUGAUGGCAUUUGUUUACCUUGGAGCUGAUCAGGACUGCUCAUAGGCAGAAGUAAACCUCUUUAGAGCUGGGGAGUGUGACGAUGAGCCUUCCAUGGAAGCAUGAACUUCAGAUGAGCUCCUUGGGGGCACCAGGGAACUGAAACAUAUAAACAGUACACAGGCAUAUGGGAUAGAACUGAGCUGCUAUUACCAGGCAGACACUGGAUACUGCAGCUGCAGUCAGCGGAGCUGUGGGAUUUCUCUUCAGCACCACACACUGUAUGGUAACAAGUCCCUGCAGAGUCUGCUAGGGAACAUCCAUUUAUCUACAAGUGCACGCUGUAAACUGGUCUACAUGAAAUGUGGUUAAUUAACCUGCCAUCACCUUAUUUUCCGUGAGUCCGCAGUCCCAUUAUCUACUUGGAAGAAGAGUGUCAUUUCUCAGCAUCCAAAAAUGUUCUGUUCCCAGCUCCUGUAAAAGCUCCUGUUGUGCGUUUCAUCCCGACUGUAAAAAUUUCAUUGUCCCAAGAUCACAUCAUGAUUCAGAGAUCAAGUUUGUCUUUGAUGAAUCUGGGGCUUGAUCAAGUAAUUGUAUUAUCAGGAGAUCAACAGGAGCUGGAGAAGGGAUUUGAGCUGGUGGCUGCUCUCUGCAUCAGUGCAGGUGGUGGCAGCUGCCUCCUGGCCAGGCUGGCUCCUCGCUGUGUUCUGCCUCCACUGAUGAUGCUCCAGCUUCACCAGCCAGCCAGAACAGCACAGGCUUUGACAGACAUCUGUCAGAUGGAGAGGUAAAAUUCAAACAAACAGGGGCAGCCCUGGGUCUGUAGGUGUAUAUUUUACAAAGCUGUCUCUGAUAAUAGUUUAUAUAUUAUUUAGCCACUUUCCUGAGCUAGUGCUCAUUGGUCAGAGUGGUGAAGGACAGCAUUCAGAUCAUCUCUGUAAGCUGAACUGUCAUGUUAAACUGCUUCAGAAGAAAAAUGGUUAGCUGUGGACAUAUUUUCUAUUAUAUAAUCCACUUCCUUGGUUUUGAGAUCUUUUUCAUUCCCCUGUCCCUCAGAGAGAUAUGCUAUACUUCCAAAUUAAUGCAUUUUGACUACAGCUUCAGCCUUUUUCCACUUGUUUGUCUGCUGGGAAUGCACGCAGCAGACCAAGGUAAAGCAAUAACAGGAAAGCAUCUAAGCUUAGAAGCACAAUAACCAGAGGCACUCUCACAGAGCAAGUGGUAAGGUCAUGGAGAAGUCACAAGGAGGGCAGGACCUAAAAGAAAAAAGGACUGAAACAGGAUAUGUACACAGAAAUAAUGCUGAUAACAUCUUUGUCUUGUGUUCAAAGCACUCUGGCCCCUAACAAGCGAGAGCAGUGUGACUCGAUGAGUAGGAAAUAAGGGAUGGAAGAGUAGCAGGUGGCUCUGGGCAUCUGUAAUUCCUGUCUAGCAGAAGUCAGGGUGGUGAUGAGGACUUGCUUACUCAGGUCAAGAGGAUUCAGGAUGCCAGCAGAUGUGCAAGGGGUAGCAAAAUGCCUGAGGGAAACAGCUGAAGCAGCUGUUGGUGUUGCAGGAGCAGAGGACCAGGACAAGCAUCUGACAAACAUCAAACUAGGAGAGGAGCCAUCCCUGCAGCAAAUCAUACCAGUUAAACUGGCUCUUGUUCCCCACACUGGAAAACGUUAGUCAAGCAAAUAUCUUUACAAACUCCUGCUGAAACUGAUGACUGAGGAUUGCAAAACCUGCCCCUUUCUUGUCCUGUGCUCUGCUCUUGGCUCAUCUGAGGGCCUGGAGAAGUUCAGCAGCUCAGUGAAGCAAAUGGCACCCCCCUCCCCACAAGGGCAAUGCAUAGCCCACAUGAAACUGUGAUUGUGAUUAAAACAGAAAAGUGGUAGCU